rnacentral:rRNA from 1 species
UACAGAGGUCUCAAGCGUUGUUCGGAUUCAUUGGGCUUAAAGGGUACGUAGGCGGCGCCAUCAGUCGGGUGUGAAAGCCCUCGGCUCAACCGAGGAACUGCGCCCGAUACUGUGGUGCUUGAGGGAGACAGAGGUAAGCGGAACUGAUGGUGGAGCGGUGAAAUGCGUUGAUAUCAUCAGGAACACCGGUGGCGAAAGCGGCUUACUGGCUCAUACUGGACGCUGAGGUGCGAAAGCGUGGGGAGCAAACAGG